rnacentral:lncRNA from 1 species
GAACACACUAUCUCGGUUCCCUUUCCUCCCCUGAGCCACCAGCCACUCACAGCGCCUGGGGCUAUUGCCUCAGAUGUAGAUGAAUCUGAUUACAUGUUACCGGCCCCCAACCUCCCUGCUCUCCCACUAGUGUCAGCGGUGGGAUCAGACCGGAGUCCCAGCUGCUAACCCAGGGCCAGGGCCCAGGCCGGCUGAGCGCUCUGCCCUGGAUGGAGAUGGCCUUGGUGCUGGUCCCUGCCUUUUGCCUUCUGAGCGGUGCCUACACCCAGAAGUGGGGCGUGACACUCGCACCAGAGCCCCUGGCUGGAUGGGUCGGCUCCUGUGUGACCAUCCCCUGCAACUUCACCUACCCUGGAGGGUGGACGGUCAGUGCCGUGAACUGGACACGAGACGGGAAUCAAACCGUGUAUCACUCGAACAAGACUCGUGUCGACGCUGCCUUCAAGGGCCGCGCCCGCUAUCUGGGGAACCUGAAGCACGACUGCUCCCUGCGGGUGGUGGGGCUGCGCCCCAGCGAUAACGGCACCUACCGCUUCCGGUUCUACGCAGCGGGCUAUGGCAAGAGUGACAACUGGACGGGUCAGCCAGGACAGCAGCUCAAUGUCUCUGCCCAUCCGUGCCAGCCCUCCCUGGGGCGCCGAAUGGAACCAGGACCCUCCCUCAUCUGCUCUGUGGAGGCCAAGUGCCCCCAUCCCCCCUCCUGGUACGACCGAGAUGGCGCGCAGCAGAGCCCAGAGCAAACCCUGGCCUGGGCUAGGGCGAUCGAGCUGCUAAUAUCCCCGUCCCAGCUGGACCCCGGCGUGGUGCUGAGAUGCCAGGUGGAUGGAUACAGGGAUGAGUGUGACUC